AUUGAACGCUGGCGGCAGGCCUAACACAUGCAAGUCGAACGGUAACAGGAAACAGCUUGCUGUUUCGCUGACGAGUGGCGGACGGGUGAGAAAUGUCGGGGAAACUGCUUGAUGGAGGGGGAAAACUACUGGAAACGGUAGCUAAAACCGCAUAACGACGCAAGACCAAAGAGGGGGACCGUCGGGCCGCUUGCCAUCGGAUGUGCCCAGGUGGGAUUAGCUAGUAGGUGGGGUAACGGCUCACCUAGGCGACGAUCCCUAGCUGGUCUGCGAGGAUGACCAGCCACACUGGAACUGAGACACGGUCCAGACUCCUACGGGAGGCAGCAGUGGGGAAUAUUGCACAAAGGGCGCAAGCCUGAUGCAGCCAUGCCGCGUGUAUGAAGAAGGCCUUCGGGUUGUAAAGUACUUUCAGCGGGGAGGAAGGGAGUAAAGUUAAUACCUUUGCUCAUUGACGUUACCCGCAGAAGAAGCACCGGCUAACUCCGUG
rnacentral:rRNA from 1 species